rnacentral:rRNA from 1 species
UACGUAGGUGGCGAGCGUUAUCCGGAAUGAUUGGGCGUAAAGGGUGCGUAGGUGGCAGAUCAAGUCUGGAGUAAAAGGUAUGGGCUCAACCCGUACUUGCUCUGGAAACUGAUCAGCUAGAGAACAGAAGAGGACGGCGGAACUCCAUGUGUAGCGGUAAAAUGCGUAGAUAUAUGGAAGAACACCGGUGGCGAAGGCGGCCGUCUGGUCUGGAUUCUGACACUGAAGCACGAAAGCGUGGGGAG